rnacentral:rRNA from 1 species
CCUACGGGAGGCAGCAGUGAGGAAUAUUGGGCAAUGGAGGAAACUCUGACCCAGCCAUGCCGCGUGAGUGAAGAAGGUUUUCGAAUUGUAAAGCUCUUUCGGAUGUGAAGAUGAAGACGGUAACAUCUAAAGAAGCCACGGCAAACUUCGUGCCAGCAGCCGCCGUAAUACGAAGGGGGCAAGCGUUGGUCGGAAUUACUGGGCGUAAGGGGUGUGUAGGCGGGAAAGUAAGAUAGUGGUGAAAUGCCUGGGCUCAACUUGGGAACUGCCAUGAUAACUAUUUUGCUAGAGUGACAGAGAGGUAAUUGGAAUACCCAGUGUAGAGGUGAAAUGCGUAGAUAUUGGGUAGAACACCGGAGGCGAAGGCGAGUAACUGGAUGGCAACUGACGCUGAGGCACGAAAGCAUGGGGAUCAAACAGGAUUAGAUACCCGGGUAGUC